UACGUAGGGACCGAGCGUUGUCCGGAAUCAUUGGGCGUAAAGAGCGUGUAGGCGGCCACUUAAGUCCUGCGUGAAAUCUUGCGGCUCAACCGCAAGCGGUCGUGGGAAACUGGGUGGCUAGAGUGCGGGAGAGGAGAGUGGAAUUCCUGGUGUAGCGAUGGAAUGCGCAGAUAUCAGUAGGAACACCAAUGGCGAAGGCAGCUUGCUGGCAUGUAUCUGACGCUAAGGCACGAAAGCGUGGGGAGCGAACAGG
rnacentral:rRNA from 1 species